rnacentral:tmRNA from 1 species
GGGCUUGUAAUGGUUUCGACAGGGAUCAUGAAGCUGGAGAAGCGAGUCGCAUGCAAUGCGUUAAAUGGCAAACUUAAAAUUAAACGCUGAAGAUAAUUUAGCGGUUGCAGCCUAGUUGCUGCAACUUGGCUGCCUGAGGGCAGCAGUCUGACCUAGAGCACUCACACUUUAGGACCCAGGCUUCGACUAUGUGAGAAACGACACGGGCAAAGCUUUGAGCCCGUGGGCGUAAUAUGAAGCUACUGAAAUCGUAAGGGUGUCUGCUCCCGUGCGGCAGAGGGAAUGUCAAAGAACAGAAUACGCUCGUAGAAGGACAGGGGAUUGGUUUUUGGACACGGGUUCGACUCCCGUCAGGUCCACU